AUGGCGUCAGGGCAAAGACAAUUUUCUUUUUUUUUAAACAAGGCAAAAGAUUUGUCAUUUUCAUUGAUUAAGAGAGAAGGUUUACAGUUUAAGGCCGAAGGCCAGGAUACAACACAUCACUCUCGCGGCAUAAUGUUACUUAAAUAUUUUGCUCCUGCAAAGCUCCAAAGCGAACACUCCUCUUUGAUCUUAGCGACCAACACUCCAACCGGAACUGCAGUGCUGCGAAAAACUCGAGCAUUUCGUUCCUUCCAUAUUUCCCAAGAGAUGAGCAUCAUCAGCGAGAUAAGCGGCCUUCUCGACGGAGUUUGCUUUGUGGCAUUCCGAGUCCACCAAUCCUUAACCGAGUCCAGAACAAUCCACUCAUCCGACCGAACAUCGUGA
rnacentral:rRNA from 1 species